UCUGUUUUUAUUUCUUAGCCUAGUGGUAGGAGCACUAGGGUGGUGUGACCUUCCCUCCAAGAGACAGAGUGUCUGGAAGAGUGCACCCCAGUAGAGAUGUGUGGGAGGAAAGGAUUUUUGUGAUGAAGAUGGGGAAACCUGAGGCCCGGAGGGGCAGGAACCUGCCCAUGGUCGCCCAGCAGUAGAGCUGGGAUCAGAACCCAAGUCUCCUGAGUCCCAGGCUAGUGCUCUAUCCCCUAGAAGACCAAACUUCCAAGUGGAUCCUGGUAAUGAGUGACUUCAAUGGGGGUAUCUGUGAAGAUCUUCUGUAGCUUUUAUCAUCAAGACG